rnacentral:rRNA from 1 species
UACGUAGGGUGCAAGCGUUGUCCGGAAUUAUUGGGCGUAAAGAGCUCGUAGGCGGUCUGUCACGUCGGAUGUGAAAAUCCAGGGCUUAGCCCUGGACCUGCAUUCGAUACGGGCAGACUAGAGUUCGGUAGGGGAGACUGGAAUUCCUGGUGUAGCGGUGAAAUGCGCAGAUAUCAGGAGGAACACCGGUGGCGAAGGCGGGUCUCUGGGCCGAUACUGACGCUGAGGAGCGAAAGCGUGGGGAGCGAACAGG